CGCGUAAAUAAUCUACCCUGAUGUCUGGGAUAACCAGCCGAAAGGCUGACUAAUACCGGCUAUAUGGUGCCCUGUUGGGGGUAUCAGGAAAGGUGGCCUCUUCUUGAAAGCUAUCGCAUUGGGAUGAGUUUGCGUACCAUUAGCUAGUUGGUGGGGUAAAGGCCUACCAAGGCGACGAUGGUUAGCGGGUCUGAGAGGAUGAUCCGUCACACUGGCACUGGAACACGGGCCAG
rnacentral:rRNA from 1 species